UAUGCUCAGUCAAUGUUGAGACGGGUUGUAAUGAUCAAAAGCGUGCUCUCCGAAGCUGAUGCCUAUGAGUAUCGCCAUAAUACAACAAUUGGGCUUGGAGUAGGCCCAGGCAGGAGAAAGUCGGUAGACUACUACAUGGAGCUGCUCAAUAAUAUCCUGUCUAGAAUGAUCGGCAAAACUUUCACCCUUGAAACAUUGAUGACGACAGCAAACGCUCUGGGGUACCUGCACACGAUCAAGAAGGUAGUGGAGGAGGAGAUUAGAGGGAUAAAAAGAAAGAAGAACAAAAGGAAGGAAGUCGGAGGUAUUUAUGAGAAAUUGCUCUAUAAUGUCAAAAACGGAGAGUUAUUUAAAUUUACUCCGAGCAGAAAGUCACCUGCCGGCCUCUCGAUAAAGAAGAACAUUCACUUUGACAACAGGGGCAAAAUAACGAUGACAACCUGGAUGUUGACAAGUAAAUAACUAAUCUAGCUGCUGAUAAGUAGUACAUGAUUCGCAGUGUAAUUGU